UAGAACAUGAAGAAAAAAAGGUUCCAGAAUGAUGGCUCCUGGAACAGGUAACUGGGCUUCACUGAAGUGUACAAUCAGGCCUAGCAACUGGCUAGGUAUGCCCUAAAUGUAGCACAGUACCUAGCAUGUAGCUGUUAUUAAUUAAAACUGACUGAAUUAGCGAAGGAAUAAAUACAUACUGCUCAGUGACCAACAAUUCCUGAUUGACAUUUAACAUCUGCAUUUCUUGACAUAGGAGGCAAAAUUGUUGAGAAGACAACAUUUUAAGGAUAUAAAGUAAUUGGAUUAUCAUCUCACAACUUGGCCCCCACUCUAUUCUUCAUAACUCCACAACUGGCGGAUGUCAUAAACUCCUCACUGGUCUCUCUGUAAUUCAGCCUGUAAAAAGUAGCCAGAGUAGUAAGAAUAACUAUCUCAAUAAUCAUUUUCAUCCUAAUAUAUUACAGUUAUCCUACCACUCAAAAGCUUACAUGGCUCUUCAUUGCCUACAAAAUCAAAAAAAGUUCAUAGCAAUCAAGAACUGUCUGCCCUCCAGCAGGAAAUUUUCCUUUCUUCACACACAUUAAUGUGUUCAACCUCAUCCACUCUGUGCACGGGCAAAUUGGAUAGAAUAUGUAGGUAGUGGGAAGACCUCAACAUUGUUUCCCAUCCUUGCCUAUCAUCAGAUGUAUGACCUUGGUACUACCUUUUAUCCAUUCUGAGCUCAAGUUUAUUCAUAUCUAAAGGGUAUAUGUGUUUAUUUUCUACUACAUUGACUUACUGUGAAAAUCAAUACACAUAAUUUCAGUAAAGCACCUGCCAUAUAUUAUA